GAAUUUUAAGAGUCAAUAUAGGAUGAACGGAUCAUAUAAACCGGAGGGAAAAUAUGAUACAAGCCCAAACGAAAAAAUAUAAACGAGUCUAAAUUGAAAACUACGUUCAAACCUAUGAUUGCGUUGGAUAAAAACCGCAAUUUUUAUACGUGUGCAUGUAAAACAAAUUUCGUUGUAGAAGGGUCUAAAAACAGCACAAACAACAUUUUCCAAAAGACCAAAAAAAGUGAAAAAGUAUAUUUAAACAAAACGCAUUUGACUAACAGGUCGAACAACUGAUGUUCUUAAACCCUGCUGACUGCCAUUGGCGAUUGCCAAAUAAAAUUGAUCACGAGAUGUAACAAAAUGGAUCUUAAUAUAAAUUUAAUACUAAACAGAAAACGAUAAACUUGUGGCCAAGAUGUUAUGCCACAAACAUA
rnacentral:lncRNA from 1 species